rnacentral:rRNA from 1 species
AACGAACGCUGGCGGCAUGCCUAACACAUGCAAGUCGAACGAGAUCUUCGGGUCUAGUGGCGCACGGGUGCGUAACGCGUGGGAAUCUGCCCUUUGGUUCGGAAUAACAGUGGGAAACGACUGCUAAUACCGGAUGAUGACGAAAGCCCAAAGAUUUAUCGCCAGAGGAUGAGCCCGCGUAGGAUUAGCUAGUUGGUGUGGUAAAGGCGCACCAAGGCGACGAUCCUUAGCUGGUCUGAGAGGAUGACCAGCCACACUGGGACUGAGACACGGCCCAGACUCCUACGGGAGGCAGCGGUGGGGAAUAUUGGACAAUGGGCGAAAGCCUGAUCCAGCAAUGCCGCGUGAGUGAUGAAGGCCUUAGGGUUGUAAAGCUCUUUUACCCGGGAUGAUAAUGACAGUACCGGGAGAAUAAGCUCUGGCUAACUCCGUGCCAGCCGCCGCGGUAA